UUCAUCAACAAAAUAGUGAAUAGCUAGGAAAAGUUUCAGAGAGCUCACAGAAAGUUCUAUGAGACUAGCUAUUUCAAGUGUUAUUCAUGAUAAUUCUAUCAGUCUUAGGUGCAAGUUAUCCAGUCACAACAAAGCAGUGAGCACCAAUAUGCUGAUGCAUUUUCUAUAGUGAUGGGAGGAAC